ensembl:lncRNA
GCGUAGGGGUCAGGGGAACGGAGGAGCCGGGCUUGGCGGGGGAGACCACCGCAUCCUCUGCCGGGCGGCCCCCUUGGAAAUCUUAAACCCGUCUUGCAGGAGAGCGCUGUUUUAUAGAAGAGGAAAUGUAAGGCCAGAACUGGCCAGGGGCUUCCCUCACCUUGCAAUUCAGGUUCAUGACACGUUUGCGGUGGCUUGAAAAAAAUGCUCCUUGUAUCUUCUUCAUUGAUGAGAUUGAUGCAGUUGUUAGGAAGCGAGGCUGAGGGCACUUCAGAGGCUGGAGCGAGCAGGAGAAUACCCUGAACCAGGUGCUUGUGGAGAUGGAUGGCGCUGCUGACGUCAGAGGCAUGUCCUCCAUCUUCACGGUCCACCUGCGUCCACAGAAGCUGGACAAGAGCCUCUGUAAGGAUGCCCUGGCAAGAAAGCUCGUGGUGCUCACUUUGGGCUUCGCAGGCGAGAUGCCGGUCGAGAAGCCGUACGGUGAGGCCACUGCCCAGCUCAUCAGGGUGCGGGACCUCAUCAGCUCUGCCUGUGAGGGGGCCUGGCGCUGCUGACCCGGUGCUGAGAGCAGCUGGGCCAGGUGGGCAGGCCGCUGCUGGGGAAGGAGGUGCUGGCGGAGGAGGAUGUGAUGGAGCUGCUGGGGCCUGACCCCUUGCGGAGAAGUCCACGCAUGAGGAGCCUGCAGGAGGACGCGUCCCUUCUUAAGGGGCUGAAGGGCUGGAACCACGGGCAGGAGGAGGGGACCUCAAAGUGCCACCUGCAGAAGAGCCCAGCUUAGUGACCUUGGCUUUGAAAGCUGCUGCCAAAAUCACGGGAAAACAAAUUAAAACAUGAUUAACAGCAAAUGGGUGUUUUAGAUAUGGGUGCUCAGACCCCAUCCCUAGAGGACAGGGUCUCUGGUCAGAGGGGCGGGCAAUAGGCCAUAAGUCCCUUGCUCCCCGGGGAGCAGAGGGCGUGUGUCUUCCUGGUGGGGUUUUGAGUUUGGACCUUCAGGGGCCUCCCACGAAGGGAGGUGGGUGCUGGGUGGAUUUGGUGGGGACAGCUGCCUCACGGGCAAGUACGAGUGCUGGUCUCUUGAAUUGCCCCAAGGACAGCAGGCUUUGGCUCUGUUCAGAAAUCCGAAGGUUUAGUGAAGUGGCAGAAUUAAGAAAAGGGAAAUCUAAGCCAGUUAUCAAGGGAAAAGUGUUAGGUUUUUACAAUAGCUGUUUGGGUUGGUGGAAGGCCUGUCAGUGGUUCUGGAAGAAACUCAACACUUCCCACAAGUGUGUGGUUGCGGGGAGAGAAGUGGAGCCAUGGGGGCCCCGGAACCACUCCCAUUGCCCUCCCAGCACCUGGGCACUCCUCUGAGCAUGAGGGAGGCAGUUUCUCAGCCAAAGCAGCACCAUUUCCAGGGUAGGCGGCUUUACCAACUAGGGUGUGUCUGGAUUUAAUUCCCUUCUCCAGCAAGCCGUGUUCCCUGCCACCCCCUUUGUUAGAAUCACAGAGGGGGCUCUGGACUGAGCUGGGAUCCCCUGGGUUGUAACCCUGUUGUUGCUGCCCCAGGUGACCCUCUUCCUGGUGUCGGGCAGCCGCCAAACGAAAGAAGGCCCGUUCUGGUUUGUGAGUUCUAGGCCUCUGAUGCCGUAGAUUGUCUGGUUGGUCUUGGAGC